AACGAGGCCGACCUGCGGCUGAGUUACCUGCGGAGGGAUCAUUACCGAGUUUACAACUCCCAAACCCCUGUGAACAUACCUAUACGUUGCCUCGGCGGAUCAGCCCGCGCCCUGUAAAAAGGGACGGCCCGCCCGAGGACCCUAAACUCUGUUUUUAGUGGAACUUCUGAGUAAAACAAACAAAUAAAUCAAAACUUUCAGCAACGGAUCU
rnacentral:misc_RNA from 1 species